AUUUUCUAUUGUUAUUUCUUUUUAAAUAGGAACAGGGUCUGUUCCAUAAAAAGAACAGUACCAAUCCAGGCUAUCUUAGGAAAAUUUACCUGAAGGAUCCGAUCACAGCACAGAGAGCAUUCAGUGCCAUUGAGAACGCACAGUCAAUGAGACACCAGCAGAAACUAAUGAAGCAGUCUUCACUGAAGCUUCUCAGGCCCCAGGUGCCGUCUUGAUUGCCGUUUACAAGGCUGCUGCCUAGUGGAAAAGCAACCACUUUAAAGAUUCUGCUAGAUUCCCAGCAAUUCUCUAGUCUGACUUUUUGGGCCAACCAGGAUUGUUUUCCUUUCUUCCUUCUUUAGUUCUGUAACUGUAUGUGCUAGCCAUCCCCUUCUACACUGAAUGGCUCAGACCACCAAAGAAAUACCACUCUGGACUUAGAGAAAAUUCUCAUUAAUAUUAAAAUUGUGAAAGGACAAUAGGCUUGUUUUUAAUUAAAGUCUUCACUGAAGAAAGGAGAGUUUAGAAUAAAUAGUGUUCUUUGAAAGAUUUUAGCCAGACACAUAUUGGAUGCUUUGACAUUUUGUUUAAAGGUAAUUUGUUCAAUAAUUCAAAAAUGUGAGAACAUUUUUGGUAAACUAGGUAAUUGAAGAAAAGCCACUAAAGGGAGAGGUGACAUGUUUUCUAUUUCCUUUUCAUGAAAACAUUGUUUGCUAAUAGGUCAAGUUUUACAUUGGUGCUCCUCUCCCACCCCCCUUUCAUUCUAGCAGAAGAAUUAUGGACAAUCUGGAAGCUUCAGAACAGUAUCCUCUGCUAUCUGUAGUGCAACAGUCACAGGAUGUAGAAGCUGUUUAUAGUCUUUUUCAGGAUGAGUUUAUAUGGCACAAUUGUAAUUUACUGAUAAAUGAAAAUAUUGCACUUUAAGCUUUUCAGGACUCAGAAAUAUGCAAAAUAUAAUAUUUUUAUAUUUCCAGAAAUUGUCUUUUAGAAGUUCAAAGACUCGUAUCAUAAAUUGACAUUUAAUCCUAAUGGAUAUCUUUUAAAUACUAGGAAGAGUAAAAAAUCUAGUUGCUUUAUUGUAUGUUUAAAAAGUCUAUAUAAUAACAUUGGAAAUGGUAUCACACGUGUUAUUUGAGGAGCAGGCCUCUGUAAACAACUCAGCACAACAUAUUUUUGUCCUGCCUUGUCUCUCUAAUGCCAGUUAGAGACGUGUUGGCCAUAGACACUGAAGGAUUUAGUUUCGGAUACACCUUUAGAUUUGCUUGGGGUGUUAAGCAUGGUGUUUAUUUCAAAGCAUCAAGUCCUUGAUGAGAUGGAGGUGUGGACGCUCAUGACUGCUCUGCCCUGCUGUGUGGGGUAGUUCCACUUCUUCAUUCAUGCCUUCUAAGACCUCACCAUAAAAACCGCUGAGGCUUUUCUGGUGCUGUUUCAUGUUUUGUCUAAGAAGAGAGUAUAGAAAUCAAUAUCCUGAAUAUUUGAUUUUUGGUAUUUGUUGGCUUUUCAAAUCCUUUAUUUCUGUAAAGAAAAGCAUCAUAUAUAUAAAACUGGUAGCUUUAAGAACAAUUUCUGUGGUACUGAUUAAUUGAAAUUUUGGGAACAUUAUAAACAACCUUAUAGCAAGUAUUUUGUGUCUUUAAAACUGACUUAAUCAGGAAUUUUGAAUAUCCAAUUAUGAUUGCCAUACGAUUCCAAGCUGUUGACAGUGUCUAAAAAUUUAAGAAAUUGUAUUGCACUGGUGGUUUGUUCUGAAAAUGAGUAUAUGGAAUAUUGGACUAAGAAAAAUUCCAGAAAUCUAUAAACUCAUAGUCUCAGUUGACUUACCUCCAAGUAUCUUUAAUGUUUUUAAUUGGUAUACAUAUCUGGGACAAAAGUAACCCAUUGCUAAAAUGUAAUAAGGUCUGUUGUGUUUGUAAAAAUAUUUUCAGAGUCAAUUUCAUAUGAAGUACUGAGAGAAAUUAAAACACUUGGUACUUGUUUGCACAGGCGAAAA